rnacentral:rRNA from 1 species
AAAUUGAAGAGUUUGAUCAUGGCUCAGAUUGAACGCUGGCGGCAGGCCUAACACAUGCAAGUCGAACGGUAACAGGAAGCAGCUUGCUGYUUYGCUGACGAGUGGCGGACGGGUGAGUAAUGUCUGGGAAACUGCCUGAUGGAGGGGGAUAACUACUGGAAACGGUGGCUAAUACCGCAUAACGUCGCAAGACCAAAGAGGGGGACCUUCGGGCCUCUUGCCAUCAGAUGUGCCCAGAUGGGAUUAGCUUGUUGGUGAGGUAACGGCUCACCAAGGCGACGAUCCCUAGCUGGUCUGAGAGGAUGACCAGCCACACUGGAACUGAGAC